rnacentral:snoRNA from 8 species
GAGCAAUGAUUAAAAGGUUUUACUACAGACCUUUAUAACUAUGAAGGUUUCUACACUUGAUCUGAGCUCA